GACGAACGCUGGCGGCGUGCCUAACACAUGCAAGUCGAACGGAGAUUUCAGCAAUGGAAUCUUAGUGGCGAACGGGUGAGUAACGCGUAGACAACCUACCUUCUAGAUGGGGACAACACUGCGAAAGUGGUGCUAAUACCGAAUGUUGUAUUUUGAACGCCUGUUUAAGAUACUAAAGGUGGCCUCUAUUUAUAAGCUACCACUAGAAGAUGGGUCUGCGUCUGAUUAGCUAGUUGGUGAGGUAAUGGCUCACCAAGGCAACGAUCAGUAGCCGGUCUGAGAGGAUGAACGGCCACACUGGGACUGAGACACGGCCCAGACUCCUACGGGAGGUAGCAGUGGGGAAUCUUCCGCAAUGGACGAAAGUCUGACGGAGCAGCGCCGCGUGAGUGAAGAAGGUUUUCGGAUCGUAAAACUCUGUUUUCAGGGACGAAUGUGCAAUAUGUAAAUAAUGUAUUGUAAUGACGGUACCUGACAAGAAAGCCACGGCUAACUACGUGCCAGCAGCCGCAGUAAAAC
rnacentral:rRNA from 1 species